UGAGAGAAGAGAAGGAGGGUCAUAUAUCCUCAAGAUUUAUAGAGAGACUUGUUGUUCUGUCAGAGAAAGAUGUGCUGGCUGCCGAUAGACCAGCCUUUGCUCCUGCCUGGUGACUACACCUGCACUGCCCACCGACUCUCGCCGUGCUCGGUGGCUCAGCUGCUCGCGUCUCGCCUUCGGAGGAUCGGGGACACGCUUGAGAAAAGCUGGACGCCCGGGGAGACGGACAGCGGCUUCAGCUGCGGGGGCAGGGAGACGGUGGCGGUGACCAGGAGAGACCACUUAAAGAGCUUCCUGUGCACUGCAAUACACUUGACCGUGCUCGUGCUGGUCGUCGCGAAGCGACAGCUGUAGGGCGCGAGGCGGCAACACCAGCAACAGAUGGUGCCUUUAGGACCAUGCACGAUGAACGGGCUCAAAUCAUUUGCCCUAAAAGCAAGGGAUGCAGGAGAGUCGGAGGAUGCGGUCCAGGAUUGAAGGUGUGCUGCGAGUAAAAGACCGACGGAAGAGAAUGAAGCGGAUUUAAAUGCGUGUUUCAAGGUCGGAACUUUGAGUCUGACUAAACUCAAUGUGUCACGAAGACUUCCUCAGGUCCGAUGCGGAUGCACUGCGAGUUUCAUAACGAGCUGACACAGAGAACCCCCAGCAGCCCUGCAGUCAGCCCGUUGCACGUCCUACCCCGGUGUGACUCUCCGAUUCUGUCAUCACAGUUACAAAACGAUGAUGUAAUCCUCCCCUGGUAGAGAGCAGGGAAAAUCUUACUAAUAAGACUCCUUUGAAUGUUCACUACCCACGACGUGAGUGCAUAAGGACAAAGGGGUUAGAGUGAUUACACCUUUAAAUGUAUGUAAAGCUACCAUUAGUGCAGCAAUAAUGAAAAAUGCACUGCAUUUUAUAAGCUUCAUGAUGCACUGUACCAUUUUUUUUUUACUUAAGCUAUACUUUGAUUGUAAACAUGUAAAUACUGAGAGGAUGAAUGUUUUUACAGAUGUUUUUUACAGUGUUUAGAUGAUGUUUACGCAUUAUACUGUGCUUUAGCAUUAUCUGUUGGCAGUGUUUAGUGGCUUUUCGUCAUAAACAAGAUACAGGACCUGUGCAUAGGAAGCUAUGCAGUUAAUGUUGUCGGUGAUUUCUGGAAAGAAGCUUCCUCUGAUACAUUAAGUGUAAUGUGAGCAGAAUUACUGAAACUGUCUUUUUUAAAGUGUGUGCUAUUUAUACUAAUUCAAUAUUUCAUAUGGAUUUUUGGUAGUUAAAUAAUAAACACCUUUCUGGAAUAAAUGUUAUGCAGGUGUGCUUACAAUUACACAAGUAAUACGCUUGACAAAGUAAGCUAAAGUGCUUUAAUUUAAAACUGAAUACCCUGCAGUGCAUUCUGCAUUUAAGUCACACGUUCCAUUAUGCAACCCGGGAUGGAUUAUUAUAAAAGGAAACGAUUCAUAUUAACAAUAUUCAUAGAGAACAAUGAAAAUAAGUUUGCAACAUGGUAGAUUAUCAGACAUGAGCUCUUGCUGUUAAUGUAAAUGUAUGGAAAGUCAAAUCCUCAAUAUCUUCACCACACUUGAUACAAAUCUAUAAAAUGUUAUGAUUGUGAUGCCUUGCUUGUACCAUAAACAAUUGCCACGAUGUAAAGUCUGGGUCACAGUCACACACCACCUUACGUUCACUACUCAAUAUCUAAAUAACCUUAUUGUUUCCUAACCAAGAACCGGUUUUUACCUA